UCAAUAAAUUUUCAUCAGACUACAAUUUUUUUUAAAAAAUAUAUUUUUCUAUCACAAAAUUAUUUAAACUAAUUAUUUUGUUUUAUUUUUGUUCCCUUAAAAUAUUUUUAUGUGUCUCUUGAUCAUGUCCAGUGGUGCUGGUGGAAGAAACCCCAGCCAUUCAUAUCUCUAUUGGGUGAAAAGGAUUUUAUUUCUUUAUUAUUAUUACAUAUAUACAAUGUUUUUGUAUCUCAUAGAUAUGUAUUCACCUGUAUGUUUAGCCAUGGUAUUUCAUCACCUUUAAAUAUUUAAUAAGAAUAUUAUAUUAUAAAAUUGUGUGUAAGUAUUAUUUUAAUCAACAUAAUACAAGAAACAGCCACAUGUGUACCUAAAAUAUCAGUAAUAUUAAAAAAAAUGUAGCAUAAAUAAUAUCAAUUAAAAAACUUAAAAAACCAAUCAACAAUAUUUAAAAUUUAAGACAUUCUAGAUCAAUUUUUACCUUUAUAUUUUUUCUUCAGAAAUUAUUGAAUCGGAGAUUUUUUUUUAUGGUGUGUUAAUUUUCGUUCCAUUGAUAAGUAUAAAUUGUAGCUUGCAUUUUAUUUAACAAAUUUAAAUGUAAAUAAAAAAACGAUAGAAAAAAUAAAAUAUAAACUUACCAGCAAUCAGGGGCGACGGCAGCGCCCGGCGACCUAGGGCAGCUGCCCGGGCUCUUCUUUCUCUCGCCUGAACCUCAAAAUAUCAUCGUAGUGGGUUCUCUCUCACUGAAGAAAUUGAAAUAUUAUAGUCAAUCAUCUCUCUCUCUCACUCAGGAAUAGUGAUGAGUUUAGAUGACGAAUCGUCGCGAGUUCUCUUCUUAUUUUUCUUUCACUUUUAAGCUCGAUUAUAGAUGCAAAAUUAUUGUUGUGAUGUUAUUAAUUGUUGUUGCAGGUUGUGGUUCAUAAAUCGGUGAAAAAUUGAUGCUGAAUUUAUGGUUUUGUGCUAUGCACACCAAGUGUUCGGUGAAAUGCUUGAACGGGGUUCUUUUGUUUUUCUGUCUUGAAAUCCCUUGGUUGCAGGUCCGAGUUACUGUCCAAUGGUUUAAAUUACGAUACUCGAAUUUCUGUGGGAUUUUUGUAAGCAAAAUAUUUGGUAUACUCGAGUUAAUUGUUGCGAUAAUUGAGACAUUUAAGAAUGUUGUUUUAGUGGUAAGCAGUGGCAAAGCCUCAACGCUGGCCUCUCUUCCUGGCGACGUUGAUGGUUACAUCUCCAUUUGCGGUUACGGUUCCCUUCUCUCCGUCAGAUUAAUCGGUUUCCUCCGUCUCUUCUCCGUUGUAGGAGCUUUCUUUUUCACUCAUGGCAUGGCCAACCUUAAAACUCAGGUCAGUUCUCGUUUUAUUGUUAAUGUUAUUUGAUAAAUGGAACAGGAAGAUGCUGCGAAAUAAAAUGCGAGAAAUUAAGUUUGAAAUGUGUCUUUGUAAAUUGUAAUUGCUUGAAUGCACGUGUUUGUUUUCUAUGCUGGAAAUGGAUGCCCUCUCUGCAUUGCCUUGUCAAGAUGAAACAAUUGUAAUAACUGUUUUUGAUAUUAACAAAACUGAGGUAAUUUCUUUUCUUAAUUACUGUAUCAUCUUUUUUUCUUAAUUACUAUAUUCUUAGCAUUAUCAUUCACAUCUCAAUGUUCCUCUUUAUUUCCCCAUAUGAAGAAUGCUAACAAGUAACAAAACAUUUCCUUGACACAAUUUGGUGAUUAAAUAUACUAGGACAUAGUUUUAUUUACUCCUAUCCUAUGCAUAUCUGUUUGGCACACAAACUGCAUUGAACUUCUAUUUUAAUGUGCAGUGUUUUUUACAAGGCCUGAUACUAUUAUUGUGUUAAUAAAAUUUUGUAUUCAAUCAAAUUCUAAAUUUAACCAAAUUAUUUCUUUCUUCAGUUGAAAAAUAAAAAGGAGGUCAAGGAUCAAAUUAAAAUUUUGUUGCUUGACAUGUGAGAGAUUGGAGAUAUAAAGGAUGAAGAUGGUAUUGAUGUUGAUAUUUAUGAUAUUUUUCUAAUAUAAGUUAUAUAUGAUAUAUAUUGUUACAUGGUCCUUAUUACUUACCAUAAGUAUUAUUAGGGGUCGCUAUAGAACACAACUGACAGUUAUCCGAACCGCUAGUCUCAGACCAAUAUUACAUAUAAGUUUUUGCCCAGGCUUUAUAAUUUUUCUGGCUUCGCCACUGCCAGCAAUUAAGAACACAAUGAGGAAGAAGCAGAUGCCAACAAUUUUUUUCAACUCCAUAUUUUUACUUUUUUUUUUUUGUUGUUGUCUCACUUCAAUAAUAGUAAAUGCUAAUAUUUAUAAAACCCUUGAAGUUGAACUUGGAAGUUGGAGUAUUCCUACCAUCUAUCAACUUGAAAAGUCACAAUGAGUUGGACGUAUAACCCCUUAACCUAUGUUUAAAUAUACUUCAAUACUUCUUCGCAAUGAAAGUUGGUCGUGACUUUUGAGAACUAACAAGAGAGCUUUACAACUAACACACCCUCCCUUAAGCUCAAGAUUUGUAACAACUAGAUUACAACUUCUUAACACUACAAAACAAAACUAAAUCACAUUACGAAUUCCACAUAUUCCAAGUAAACUUCAAAACCUUUUAAAAAAAACUCUAUCUUUAAAGGUUUUGUCAUCACAUCUUCCAUUUGAUCUAAGAUUCCUAAGAAAAUAAAAUCUUAUGUCUAUGUAUUUACUUCUUUAAUGCAUGAUUGAAAAUUUGCUCAAUUUGAUAGUUGAGCUAUUAUCACAAAAGACAGUCAUGCAUUUGUCUUGGUAAGAAGAGAAAUUUAGAUUGGAUAAAAGGUAUUAUUGUACAAUUCUAUACUCAGAUUAUUCCCGGUAAGCUGAAACCCAAAUAGUCAGAUCCUUUUAUUACUCACAUAGCGUUUGCAAAUGGUGUUGUAGAAAUACAAAAUCUAGGAGAUUCACACACUUUUACCAUGAAUGGCCAAAGGUUAAAGAUUUAUUCAGGUGAAAUAGCAUAGAAGAAAGUUUCUUUGAUGUUCGUAGAGCCUUAGACACAAGAGUCAAGCUAUUGACCUUAAAGAAGCGUUUAAUGGGAGGCAACUCAUCAUUUCCGACUUUUCACAAUUUUAGUAUUUUUCCUGUUUUUGUUUUAUUUUUCUUUAUGUAGGGAAGAGUACUAGCUAUCUCUCAAGAAUGCUCUCCCUCAUGUGUAUUUCUUUUUUCUUUAAUUAAUUAACUUGUAGAUGAGUUUUAUUUAUUGCUUCGAAGAGACUAGUACACUUGGUAGAAUUGCCAUCAGAUUCAAACCCAAGACCAAGCAUUUUUCACCUCGGUCAGUAUUCUAACCAUGGUGGAAAUUAGUGCACUUUCUACCACACCAUUCGUUUCCAUAGACAAUAAGUUGUGGUGAAAUCCCUCUUUCAACCGUGAUAAUAUAUACUUUUGAAUGCCUCAAUUAAUUGAAUGAAACAUGUAAGUUUUGGCUUAAAGAUCUUUCAACUUGCUUUCAUCUACAAGUUUUUUUUCUGGGAUUGGUGUGGCUGGUUAUACCGAGACACCUUCUUCCAUAAUCAAUCAAAUCUCCCUUUAUUGAUGUAAAUUCUCCACAAACAUGAACUACUUGAGUUGUUGAGUAGGUUUACUAGUAGAACAAGUAAUAAGCAUGGAAAUCUAUUGAGCGAGUCAUAUGAUAUCUUAAAAAGACUAUCAAUCUUGGUCUAUAUUAUGAGAGAUUUCAUGUUGUACCUGAGGGAUAUAGUGAUGCAAAUUAAAACACCUUAUUUAAUGAUUAAAAAGUAAUUAUAGGCUACAUAUUCAGUAUAGUUGAAGGAGCUGUUUCUUGGAAAUAAAAGAAGCAUACUAUCUUGGCUCAGUCCACGAUUGAGUAUGAAAUGAUGGAAUUAGAAAUUGCUAGUCAAGAAAUAAGUUGGUUAAGAUGCUUGCUAGCUGAGAUCCCUCUAUGGAAAAAAAGUAUGCCAACUACGUUGAUCCAUUAGGAUAGUCUAUGGCUAUUUGAAAAAAUUGUGAAUCAUUACUAUAAUGGUAAUAGAGGUUAAAUAAGAACAAAGCACAAAAUUGUUAGAAAGUGUAUCUCUAAAGGAGAUGUAAGAAUGAGUCAUGUAUGCAUUGAUGAAAACUUAAUAGAUCCUUUGAUGAAAUGACUAGCUAGAGAGAAAGUUUAUGACACAUCCAAUAAGAUGAGACUAAUGCUUAUAGAUAAGUGAGUUUUUUAUGAUGGUAACUUAACCUAAAAGACUAUAGAUACCAUGAAUUAGGUUUAAUGGAUAAUAACAAAUCGUGAGCAAUACGAGAUGAUCAUGCAAGUAUAAAUAAGAGAAGUAUGAAGACUUACAAGCUUUGAGAAAUAUAAGAAGUUGUUAUAUUAAGACUUACAAGCAGUGGCGAAGCCAGAAAAAUUAUAAAGCCUGGGCAAAAACUUAUAUGUAAUAUUGGUCUGAGACUAGCGGUUCGGAUAACUGUCAGUUGUGUUCUAUAGCGACCCCUAAUAAUACUUAUGGUAAGUAAUAAGGACCAUGUAACAAUAUAUAUCAUAUAUAACUUAUAUUAGAAAAAUAUCAUAAAUAUCAACAUCAAUACCAUCUUCAUCCUUUAUAUCUCCAAUCUCUCACAUGUCAAGCAACAAAAUUUUAAUUUGAUCCUUGACCUCCUUUUUAUUUUUCAACUGAAGAAAGAAAUAAUUUGGUUAAAUUUAGAAUUUGAUUGAAUACAAAAUUUUAUUAACACAAUAAUAGUAUCAGGCCUUGUAAAAAACACUGCACAUUAAAAUAGAAGUUCAAUGCAGUUUGUGUGCCAAACAGAUAUGCAUAGGAUAGGAGUAAAUAAAACUAUGUCCUAGUAUAUUUAAUCACCAAAUUGUGUCAAGGAAAUGUUUUGUUACUUGUUAGCAUUCUUCAUAUGGGGAAAUAAAGAGGAACAUUGAGAUGUGAAUGAUAAUGCUAAGAAUAUAGUAAUUAAGAAAAAAAGAUGAUACAGUAAUUAAGAAAAGAAAUUACCUCAGUUUUGUUAAUAUCAAAAACAGUUAUUACAAUUGUUUCAUCUUGACAAGGCAAUGCAGAGAGGGCAUCCAUUUCCAGCAUAGAAAACAAACACGUGCAUUCAAGCAAUUACAAUUUACAAAGACACAUUUCAAACUUAAUUUCUCGCAUUUUAUUUCGCAGCAUCUUCCUGUUCCAUUUAUCAAAUAACAUUAACAAUAAAACGAGAACUGACCUGAGUUUUAAGGUUGGCCAUGCCAUGAGUGAAAAAGAAAGCUCCUACAACGGAGAAGAGACGGAGGAAACCGAUUAAUCUGACUGUUCGGAAGUUGGUUAGAUUUGGAAAUGUUAAGAGUUAGUUGAGAGUUAAGAGGAUGAUGAAAAGAAUUAUUGGAAGGAAAGAAUGAAAUGAGAAGUUAGUUACCGGAGAGAAGGGAACCGUAACCGCAAAUGGAGAUGUAACCAUCAACGUCGCCAGGAAGAGAGGCCAGCGUUGAGGCUUUGCCACUGCUUACCACUAAAACAACAUUCUUAAAUGUCUCAAUUAUCGCAACAAUUAACUCGAGUAUACCAAAUAUUUUGCUUACAAAAAUCCCACAGAAAUUCGAGUAUCGUAAUUUAAACCAUUGGACAGUAACUCGGACCUGCAACCAAGGGAUUUCAAGACAGAAAAACAAAAGAACCCCGUUCAAGCAUUUCACCGAACACUUGGUGUGCAUAGCACAAAACCAUAAAUUCAGCAUCAAUUUUUCACCGAUUUAUGAACCACAACC